GGAGGGCAAGUCUGGUGCCAGCAGCCGCGGUAAUUCCAGCUCCAAUAGCGUAUACUAAAGUUGUUGCAGUUAAAAAGCUCGUAGUUGGAUUUCUGCUAGAGGGGCGCAGUUGUCCUCCACGUGAGGUUCAGCUAGCUUCCCUCGUGCAUCCUGCCGCGAUCCGUGCUUCCAUUAACUUGGAGGUGCUGGGGAUCGGCUCGUUUACUUUGAGAAAAAUAGAGUGUUCAAAGCAGGCGAAAAGCCUUGAAUAACUUAGCAUGGAAUAAUGAUAAAGGACUUCGGUUCUAUUUUGUUGGUGUUCGGGACUGAAGUAAUGAUUGAUAGGGACAGUUGGGGGCGUCAGUAUUCCAAAGCGAGAGGUGAAAUUCUUAGACCUUCGGAAGACUAACAGCUGCGAAAGCGUUCGCCAAGGAUGUUCCCUUUGAUCAAGAACGAAAGUUGGGGGAUCGAAGACGAUCAGAUACCGUCGUAGUCUCAACUAUAAACUAUACCAGCUAGGGAUCGGCCAACGUUAUCUAAACUCGACUUGGUCGGCACCUUAUGAGAAAUCAAAGCAUCUGGGUUCCGGGGGGAGUAUGGUCGCAAGGCUGAAACUUAAAGGAAUUGACGGAAGGGCACCACCAGGCGUGGAGCCUGUGGCUUAAUUUGACUCAACACGGGAAAACUUACCAGGUCCAGACAUAGUAAGGAUUGACAGAUUGACAGCUCUUUCUUGAUUCUGUGGGUGGUGGUGCAUGGCCGUUCUUAGUUGGUGGAGUGAUUUGUCUGGUUAAUUCCGUUAACGAACGAGACCCCAGCCUGCUAAAUAGACGGAGUGAGCUUUAUGUUCGCUGUUCCGGCUUCUUAGAGGGACUAUGUGUCGUUUCAGCACAAGGAAGUUUGGGGCAAUAACAGGUCUGUGAUGCCCUUAGAUGUUCUGGGCCGCACACGGGCUACACUGGCGGGUGCAACGAGCAUAUCAGCUUGCCCGAGAGGGUACUUGGCUAAUCUUUUGAACCCCCGCCGUGCUUGGGAUUGACUUUUGCAAUUGUUAGUCAUGCAACGAGGAAUGCCUUGUAAACGCGAGUCAUCAACUCGCAUUGAAUACGUCCCUGCCCUUUGUACACACCGCCCGUC
rnacentral:rRNA from 1 species